CUGAGUGAGGGCCUUCGGGCUCGACCUCCAACCCUUUGUGAACACCAACUUGUUGCUUCGGGGGCGACCCUGCCGUUUCGACGGCGAGCGCCCCCGGAGACCAUCAAACACUGCAUCUUUGCGUCGGAGUUUAAGUAAAUUAAACA
rnacentral:misc_RNA from 1 species